UAGGGAAUCUUCCACAAUGGACGAAAGUCUGAUGGAGCAACGCCGCGUGAGUGAAGAAGGUUUUCGGAUCGUAAAGCUCUGUUGUUGGUGAAGAAGGAUAGAGGCAGUAACUGGCCUUUAUUUGACGGUAAUCAACCAGAAAGUCACGGCUAACUACGUGCCAC
rnacentral:rRNA from 1 species